rnacentral:rRNA from 1 species
GAUGAACGCUGGCGGCGUGCCUAAUACAUGCAAGUCGAGCGAACAGACGAGGAGCUUGCUCCUCUGACGUUAGCGGCGGACGGGUGAGUAACACGUGGAUAACCUACCUAUAAGACUGGGAUAACUUCGGGAAACCGGAGCUAAUACCGGAUAAUAUAUUGAACCGCAUGGUUCAAUAGUGAAAGACGGUUUUGCUGUCACUUAUAGAUGGAUCCGCGCCGCAUUAGCUAGUUGGUAAGGUAACGGCUUACCAAGGCAACGAUGCGUAGCCGACCUGAGAGGGUGAUCGGCCACACUGGAACUGAGACACGGUCCAGACUCCUACGGGAUGCAGCAGUAGGGAAUCUUCCGCAAUGGGCGAAAGCCUGACGGAGCAACGCCGCGUGAGUGAUGAAGGUCUUCGGAUCGUAAAACUCUGUUAUUAGGGAAGAACAAAUGUGUAAGUAACUAUGCACGUCUUGACGGUACCUAAUCAGAAAGCCACGGCUAACUACGUG